rnacentral:rRNA from 1 species
AGAUUGAACGCUGGCGGCAUGCCUUACACAUGCAAGUCGAACGGCAGCACGGGAGCAAUCCUGGUGGCGAGUGGCGAACGGGUGAGUAAUACAUCGGAACGUGCCCAGUUGUGGGGGGAUAGCCCGGCGAAAGCCGGAUUAAUACCGCAUACGACCUACGGGUGAAAGCGGGGGAUCGCAAGACCUCGCGCUAUUGGAGCGGCCGAUGUCGGAUUAGCUUGUUGGUAGGGUAAAAGCCUACCAAGGCUACGAUCCGUAGCUGGUCUGAGAGGACGACCAGCCACACUGGGACUGAGACACGGCCCAGACUCCUACGGGAGGCAGCAGUGGGGAAUUUGGACAAUGGGCGAAAGCCUGAUCCAGCAUGCGCGUGCGGAAGAAGGCCUGGGUUGUAACGCUUUGUCGAGGAGAAACGGUCGAGCUAAUACCUUAGAACUAAUGACGUACCGUAGAAGAAUAAGACGAACCGGACUAACCUACGUAGACC